GACGAACGCUGGCGGCGUGCUUAACACAUGCAAGUCGUACGGUAAGGCCCUUUCGGGGGUACACGAGUGGCGAACGGGUGCGUAACACGUGCGUAACCUGCCCACAACUUUGGGAUAACGCUAGGAAACUGGUGCUAAUACUGGAUAUGUGCUCCUGCUGCAUGGUGGGGGUUGGAAAGCUCCGGCGGUUGUGGAUGGACUCGCGGCCUAUCAGCUUGUUGGUGGGGUAGUGGCCUACCAAGGCGGCGACGGGUAGCCGGCCUGAGAGGGUGACCGGCCACAUUGGGACUGAGAUACGGCCCAGACUCCUACGGGAGGCAGCAGUGGGGAAUAUUGCACAAUGGGCGCAAGCCUGAUGCAGCAACGCCGCGUGCGGGAUGACGGCCUUCGGGUUGUAAACCGCUUUCAGCAGGGACGAAGCUUUUUGUGACGGUACCUGCAGAAGAAGCACCGGCUAACUACGUG
rnacentral:rRNA from 1 species